ACAUCGGUAGCACAGUGGUCAGAGCAGUCUGCCGGAAACAGAUGUCACGGGUUCAAUUCCCCUCCGAUGUC
rnacentral:tRNA from 1 species